UACGUAGGGUGCAAGCGUUGUCCGGAAUUAUUGGGCGUAAAGAGCUCGUAGGCGGUCUGUCGCGUCGGCUGUGAAAACUCGGGGCUCAACCCCGAGCCUGCAGUCGAUACGGGCAGACUAGAGUUCGGUAGGGGAGACUGGAAUUCCUGGUGUAGCGGUGAAAUGCGCAGAUAUCAGGAGGAACACCGGUGGCGAAGGCGGGUCACUGGCCCGGUACUGACGCUGAGGCACGAAAGCGUGGGGAGCAAACAGG
rnacentral:rRNA from 1 species